rnacentral:lncRNA from 1 species
UUAAAGGAAAAUACUUGCAGACAACAAGUAAGGUAUGAAAUGAAGAAUAGUGUGUCUGAUCUGAAGUGGAGAGGGAAUGCAAUUUUUCUCCUGCAUGGUAGAAGAGCAUGUGGAGAAGCAAUAGAAAAUUCUUUCACUAAAGUUCAUAGUCCAUAUAUUCUGCAUGCAUCAAAAGGAACUUGUAGAAACAGAGUAGUCCUUCUUUUAGAUAUGUGUAUCACCCAACUUUGCCUGAUUGACAUAGCAAGUUAAAACUGCAAGCCGUGAGUAUUUUUCUACACAUCGGUGAGAUGAUUUUAAGAAUAUUACAUGAAUUAAUUGCUGAAGUAAUAUUUAAUUUAUAAAAGGUAUCAUGGAUACCAUUUUACCAUAAACAGCUUGAUUGUUAAUAUGAAAUAAUCUUUUGUCAGUAAUAAUCUUAGAUACUAUGACUAGAGGGGAAAAAUAUUGAUUGUUUUUACAGAUUAUAAAAGCAUACAUUAGUAUAUUGUAUACCUGCUGUAAGAAUUUGUUUCAUUUGGUUAAAAUUAGUAAAUAUGGGUAGACAUGAACUUUCUGGCUGGUUUUGCCGUCCAUACUCACUGAGCUCCUUUUCCUUCUAAACCCAUUUUAGUUCAUUUCAUCUUUUCCCAGCUUUCAAAUCAUAGAUAAGGGGAAUGCUCUUCUACCCCCAGAAAUGUGCAUUCUAUAUACCAGAUUAUGAGUUUGAUUAGAGAAGUAAAAUUCAACAAAACAUGAAAGUUGUCAAAAAAAUUUAAUAAAAGUUGACACUAAAAAUAAGGUUGUUUCAACUGAGCUCGUAGGGUAGAUGUUCUGUAGGUACUCCUAUGUUUUUGUUUUCUUAGAGACCAUAAUAAUCAUAUUAAGAUCCCAGUGAGCAUAAACAGCAAUUAAAUAUGAUGUAAGAGGGAGACUGAAGGAUAGUUAAAUGAU